GACGUACAGCACACUGAGGAUUGUUCAUCUGAGAUGUAUUUAUAUUUUACAUGAUGUCCGCCCCUCUGUUCAGCACGCCAGGGAUCUAUUCUGCUCUGAUGGAGAGCAGGUGAGCGUGCACCCACAGGAGCAGACGCCUGGCCAGACCCAACAGUUUAUGUAGGCUGCGGCGGCCCUGUAGUCGGUGCGGACCAGCACGUGCUGGCGGGCCGAGGAGGAAAUAUUAACAAUAUUAACAACACUGUGUGCCUAUCAAGUGACUAAUUAUGCUUGUUGUCAGAAUUUGCAUUAGAAACAACGUUUGUAUUGCUUCUACGGUGCAUAGAAAGGUUACACAAGGUUACCACAAGCUCAAAUUAUGGCUGUCAGUACUUAUUUGUGUUAUAUUGUAGAGCACCAUUGAUCCUCACCUGACUAUGGCUUUGUAAACUUACCCAUGAUGUGUGAUGAUUUAUAAUGGACUGUGGUACAGAAACAUUGACAAUGUUACUCUUGGCUUACGUUUUCCAUGUUGUCUGUCAGUGAUCAUACUUGCACUAGAUGUGAUUUUUUUGUUUUUGGGAUGUUCAAUUUAUUAGGCCAGAUGAGACCCUACCAAGAUGUAACACAUUGUGUAUUACAGUACAGUAAUAUAUUACAUUCAUGUAGCACUUCAUUUAUUGAGGCUGCUGCUGUUCCCCCAGCUAUGAGACAGGUCCUGCAACAUCGACUCCCUUGAAGAGAAAACCUUUGCAAGUCCCAGCUCCAGCAUUGUCUAGCAUUGGUGCUUCUAAUGCGGGGUUCGGCAACCUUUAACACCAAAAGAGCCAUUUGAACUUGGUUUCCACGGAAAAGAAAACACCAGGAGCCGCAAAUACUUUUUGACAUCUAAAAUGAAAAAAAACCGCAUUUAUUUAAAAAAACAACAACAACAACAACAACUUCCCUUUCAUGCUACUGGGUUCACCCCAGCCAUACACUUAUUAGUGCUUUGAACAUUUUGAAUUCUUGAAAAAAUAAUAACAAUUUCUGAAUGUCUCUUUCAAAUAAAUUAAAAAGCUGAACUUAAAAUAUCCAUGUAGCAAACAAAAGCAAAAAAUGCCGUGAGCUGUCAUCCUUAUAGUAUCGCCUUUGGGCUUUCAGAGCAUGUAGCAGAGCCUUGACCUGAAUUUAAAAAAUAAAUUGAGAAAUAAAGCACUGUGUCACUAAACAAUUAAAAAAUAAAUGUUUGCAAAAUAUCUGCAUAAAUAUUUAUUUUACCUGGUUAAUGGGACUUCUGCUCCUGAACCUCUGCGCACAGCGUCUGCAAAUCGAGGCUGUACGAAGUCACUUUCAUCUUUACGCAGGACUGUAAGCUGUCAUCUGUGAGGCGUGAGUGGUGUUUGUUUUUAAUGUAGUUCAUGGUAGAGAAUAGCUGCUCACAUACAUAUGUGGAUCCGAAGAUGGACAGAACUCCAAAGGCGAAAAAAGAACUAACACAAAUAAAAUACACUUCAAUUAAAUACUUAGUUUUUUUUCUUUUUAGUAAUUUAUUUUCCCAAGCCACUCGGAGCCGCAGUAUAAGGAUGAAAGUGCAGCAUGCGGCUCCGGAGCCGCGGGUUGCCGACCCCUGUUCUAGUGGAACAGACCGAGAUGAGCAUCUUGAUGUCAUUCCAGAAGCCACAGAAAUUCAGGGCCUUGAACAAAGCUUACAUGACAUGAGCAUUGUUGAGGAGGACUUGGAGGAAAAUGUUUUCAAUG